CACAGACCAAAGUUGUGAGCUGUUGAAAUAUUUAGAAACAAAUUUAAAUUUUAUUUUAUUUUAUCUUGGAAAUCUCAGUUGUUUCCGGGUCCCAUCUUAUUGAAACAGGAUUGUGAAUUUUCCAAGCUAAUAGUGUGUGUCUGAAAUAGAAACUGAGAACGAGAAUGUGUGUUUCCAUGGUGGUAAUACCCUAGUGCAACUAAUUAAAAGGGAGGAGAGGGUCAACUUAUUCUCCAAAGCACCUGAGGACAAAACCAGAAGCAAU